rnacentral:rRNA from 1 species
UUCUUUGAAGCCUGGACACGUGGCGACUCUAACCGUACACGUGUAGUCUGUCCCCGCGGCAGGCGACAUCACCGAUGUGCUGGAACAUACUCGAUGUCAAUCAGCAGCCCGGAGGCGGUCCUCUGGUUCACAGAUUAGACGGUGAUGGUCAGCUACGAACAUCUCAGUGGCGUAAUUAUCGCCCGAGGCGUCUGGAGAUGUUUGAUUUCUGAUUGAGAUAUAAUCGGUCGCUAUGUUGCAGAUAGCCGAAGAAACGUUCCGUAGGUGAACCUGCGGAAGGAUCAUUA